rnacentral:rRNA from 1 species
AUUGAACGCUGGCGGCAGGCUUAACACAUGCAAGUCGAGCGAGCGGCGGACGGGUGAGUAAUGUCUGGGAAACUGCCUGAUGGAGGGGGAUAACUACUGGAAACGGUAGCUAAUACCGCUUCCCAUCAGAUGUGGCCAGAUGGGAUUAGCUAGUCGGUGGGGUAAUGGCUCACCUAGGCGACGAUCCCUAGCUGGUCUGAGAGGAUGACCAGCAACACUGGAACUGAUGGCCUGUCCGGACUCCUACGCGAGGCAGAAGUGGGGAAUAUUGCACAAUGGGCGCAAGCCUGAGGCAGCCAUGCCGCGUGUGUGAAGAAGGCCUUCGGGUUGUAAAGCACUUUCAGCGAGGAGGCGUUACUCGCAGAAGAAGCACCGGCUAACUCCGUGCCAGCAGCCGCGGUAAUAC